AAUUUUGCGCAAUGGGCGAAAGCCUGACGCAGCAACGCCGCGUGAAUGUUAAGCCCUUCGGGGUGUAAAGUUCUGUCAGUGGGGACGAAACUUGACGGUACCCACAGAGGAAGCACCGGCUAACUCCGUGCCAGCAGCCGCGGUAAUACGGAGGGUGCAAGCGUUGUCCGGAAUCAUUGGGCGUAAAGAGUUCGUAGGUGGUAUGUUAAGUCUGGUGUUAAAUCCCGAAGCUCAACUUCGGUCCGGCACUGGAUACUGGCAAACUUGAAUGCAGCAGAGGUAAAGGGAAUUCCUGGUGUAGCGGUGAAAUGCGUAGAUAUCAGGAGGAACAUCGGUGGCGAAGGCGCUUUACUGGACUGUUAUUGACACUGAGGAACGAAAGCCGGGGUAGCAAAUGGG
rnacentral:rRNA from 1 species